rnacentral:rRNA from 1 species
UGCCAGCAGCCGCGGUAAUACGUAGGGUGCAAGCGUUAAUCGGAAUUACUGGGCGUAAAGCGUGCGCAGGCAGUUUUAUAAGUCAGAUGUGAAAUCCCCGAGCUCAACUUGGGAACUGCGUUUGAAACUGUAAGACUAGAGUGUGUCAGAGGGGGGUAGAAUUCCAAGUGUAGCAGUGAAAUGCGUAGAGAUCUGAAGGAAUACCAGUGGCGAAGGCGGCCACCUGGACAAAGACUGACACUGAGGCGCGAAGGCGUGGGGAGCAAACAGGAUUAGAUA